ACAUUGUAAAAGUUUAUUUUAGGUGGAAAACCUCUGUUUUUACUUUUUAAGCCUUGUAUCCGUAAUCAUUUUUAUAGUUUGCACCAACUUACCCUGAUGUAAUUUAGCGUAAACUAUAAAAAUGAUUAAUUUAUUAUUAGGUGCAAAAAUCUUUUACUACCAAUUUCUGCAAUAAUUUAAAGCCCAAAAUUUAAUUUUACUUCAAGCUGGUAGAAAUUAAUCGUUUGUAUAACAAGCCAUAACAACAGCCACUUUUUUCUAGGUAAAAAAAUCCCCUAAAUGUUUUUUAAUUUUUUUCAUAAAAAGUAUUUUUAAAGAUUUUAAAUUGAAAUUUUUAUCAGCAACUCAUGGAAUAUCUUUUUUUUGUUUGUUUUUGUUUUUUAUAUGCAGAUGCCACUGCUCUCCAAAUUGACCGCCAGAUUGAAGCUCUCCCCACUUCUAAUUUUUUGCAUUUAAUUAAUCAUAUGCAUUAGUAAACACAAUUUAAGUUGUCAGAAAAAUCUGAACUAAGGGCUAAGUAUGUAUGUUUUCAAAAUUAAAAUUUAUAAUUUUUUUCUUUUUUUUCUUUGUAAGUUUCAUUAAAGUCAGCCAUUAUGGUAGUCAAAAUAGGCUAUUUACAGAAAAUGAUAUAUAAAAUGUAUCAUUGAUUUACGGCUUCUUUCCAGAUAUAACUAUCACUUUUCAACAUGGCGUCAGAUUUCAAAUUAUGUACUUGUACAGUUUACUUGAUAAAUAAAGUUAUCAGAUCUAAAUCUUUAACACCUUCAGUUUGUGAAAAAAUUCAAGAAUACAUCUGGCCAAACUUCAAUUCUAAUCUUGAAGUUUGUCCUUCAGUAGUUUGUUCCAACUGCAGAAGAAAAUUAUAGUCUAAACAAAGGCGAGACUGCAUAUCUUUCAACUGGUUAGAGACUAUAUCAAAGAUAAAUAGAAGUAUUAUUAGGAGAACCUCUUCACUGCAAUGUAUCCAGACAAAUGUAGAGCCAGAAUUGAAUUUUUCAAAUGCGAAUGAGAAAAUUUGUGGACUCUACUAUUUGAAUCAUGUAAAGGAAUUUCUCACGAUUGUUGCAAAAGUAAAGCUGUUAAGAGUAUCAUCGAUAUUAGUGAAUUGCUUGGAUAUAAAAGUGCAGAGCAAGUAGCUUCCGGAUUGUUAAAACUUAAAAUGGAAUUUGAAAACAUUCUAAGUGGAGAGCAGUUUAUGUUGUUUACUGGUGGAAAUCUUCUGGCUCUUACAGUUGAAGUAAAUGAAAAUAAAUCAAAAAGAAAGAAAGUAAAUCAAGUUUCAUUCCAAGCUAUUAUGGAGCUAUCGAACAAAUUAGAACUCUCUAAGAACAAAACUAAAAAACUGUGUUCUACUCUAUGCAGUAAUCUAACUGGUGUAGAAUCAAACAAUAAUAUUAAAAUGACUGAAUUAUAGGAUACACUAGGUACUUUAUAUGAAUGUAAAACUGAAGAAUUCUUUGACAGUGAUAAAGUAGUUGUUAGAGAUAUAGUUUAAAUGUAAAUUUUAGUUUAGCAUUUGAUUUAAAAUGUGCAAACGGUGUUUUUGGACUUUCAAGUCAUUCUGGCAAAUAUGCUUGUCUUUAUUGUGAAGGAGAAUACUUUCUCGAAGCAGGAAAACUAAGAACAUUGGGCUCCAUAGACUUAUGUCAUGAUCAAUAUGUAUGCAAAGAAAAAAGGAUAAAAAUGCAGGAAUGCAAAAACAUUAUAAAUCCUAGUUUAAUAUACUUAAAAAAAGAUCAAGAAACAUUUCUUUAACACAUUGUUCCUCCUCUUGAGCUCCACAUUAUGAUGGGAGUUGUGGAUAAACUUAGUAUGGGAGUUGUGGAUAAACUUUGUACCUUGCUUUUAUGUAUGGCCACCUUUUCAAAAUUGGUUGAAAACACAUUACAUAUUAAUGAGAGUAUGCCAUGGAGUAGGCUUAGAUGGAAACAAUGCUAAUAAAUUUAUGUCUUUGUUAGAUGUUUUUGAGAUGGAUGUUACCUUAACUGCAGGGAUUGAUAUUUGAUAUAAUUGUUUGCGUAAGUUUUCAUUAGUAAAAUCAGUCGUGUUUAGUCUAGAAAUGAGUACAGGUAGUUCUGUUAAAAUUGAAGACUUCAAAUGUUCUUUUUUUAGUCUCCAAUUAUAUGCAAAGGAUAUUUUUGACAACGAGCUUAGGAAACUACACAGAACAAUGUGGUAAAGUUGUUCAUCACAAAUUUAAAAAAACUUGGGUGAACUAUAAAAGAACUAGAGAACACAAAAAUUAUGGAGAAAAGCUAAAAUCUGCUGUAGUGAAUUUUAAUUUAAACAAUCAGUAGCACUAAUAUAUUUUGUGUUGUAUAUUUAUUUGUUAUAUGUAUUUGGAAAAAAUUAAUAAAUGUUGAUGGUUUAUUUUGACUACCAUAAUGGCUGACUUUAAUCAAACUAAGGAAGAAAAAAAGCAAAAAAUUAUAAGUUUUAAUUUUGAAAAAAUAUGUACUUAGCACUUAAUUCAGAUUUUUCUGACAACUUAAGUUUACUAAUGCAUAUGAUUAAAUAAAUGCAAAUUUCAACCUAGCAAUCAAUUUGGAGAACAGUGAUGCAGGCACCCUAAGCACCCUAAUAAAAAAAAUGGAGUUUGGAGCUUAAUGAUUUCAGACAUAUUUUUGAGUUAUCAGUAACCCAGAUUUAAAGCAGUAGACCCUUUUUUAAACAAAGAAACUAUUUAUAAGAUAUUUUAUCAGAAAUUUGAGUAAAAAUAUACAAAACUUAAAAUUAAAAAAAAAUGUUAUAAUAAAAGCUUAAUACAAUCUUUAUUAAGCUCAAACUCUUUAUUAUAUCCCAAACUCCUUUUAGAGAACUAAUUAUGGAUUUGAACAAAGCUCUCUAAGCUAAUAAGUGAUUUGAGCAGCACAAUAAUCUUUGCAUAACACCGAUCAAAAGUUGUUCUUAACUAAAUAAUGUAAACCACUAAAUAAAAAAUUUAAAUGUGUGUUAAUUUCGUUAGAGUAUGCCAUAAAAAGAGUGCUCGGUUAUCAUAAAAAACAAAGAUGUAAUAAAUUAGUUUCCUGAGGAUUCUAUAGAUAGUGAGGCUGUUCAAAUCUUUUUUUUUUUUAAUAUAUAUUUAUAUAUAGUAGUAUACAACAUUAAAGUAAAUAUCUUUUGAAUAAAUCACGAUAUUCCAAAAAUGACAAUAACAAAACAACAGUUUUGUUAUUCUUUGCUUGUUGACAAUUUUAUGCAUAACGAUAGUUUUAAAUUUAUUUAAAAAUAAUUCAUUUGUAAUUAAUGGCGGGAAAAGCUAUGAGAAAAUGAAUGAAAAGAUUAAAUGAAUAAAAAAAUUACUUAAGAUAAGAAAAUGUUCUUAGUUACAUACCACAAUUUCAUAUAAUAAUUAAAUAAGAACUUUAACAUUUAAAGUUAACAAAUGUAAAGAAAAAAAAUGAUUGCACAUUUUGCUCAUUAAAAUCAUUUUAAAAAUUGCUAAUGUUAAUUUAAAUAGAGUUAAUAAAAUUAGAGAGUAAUAAUUUUAUUAAUUUGCGCGAAGAUUUUGUACUCAAACUUAACAUUGAAAUUAAUUCCUUAAUCUAUUGAGUUCCUUUUUGAUCCCAACACUCUACUGCAUAGUUUAAAAUUUGAAGCUCUUCAUUCAUUCAGUUUGCGGCAAAAACUUAUGAGUAAACAAAUAAAAAAUUAAAAGACACAUUUUUUUGAGAUUAAUGCAAUUAUUAUAUAUUAUUAUAUUAUUAUUAAAAUAAUCUAUAACAUACAAUUAUUAUUAUAUACUUUAUUAAAUUAAUAAUAAAAUAACAACUUCAAUCAUUUAUAAAAAAAUGAUUUUCACCACCAAUAAAAUAAAAGUAAUUUAAAUAAGUGAAGAAAAGAAUUAUUAGAUGUCAUGUCUUAUGUUAUAUUCGUUAGCGAAAGGAAUUUAAAUAACUUAUUGUAAACAAUAAGCCUAGUUUAAGCACUUUUUCAAAAUUUUAAUGAUUGUAUGAUAAUUUAGUACAUGCUUUUACCAAAUAAUAAUCUUAUUAUUUUUCAAAUCUUGUUUUUCAAAACUCUGAUUAUUUUUUAACUGGUCAACUAUGACCGGGAAGUAAUCGUUUUGGAAGGUCAAAAUAGCAAUUUUACUCAUUUUUAGCAAUCAUUGAUCGUUGGCCAGCCGUUAUUUUACACGCUGAGUUAAUGUAUUAUACUAAAGAUGAGAAAAUUAUAAUAUCAAAUAUUUUACAUUAAGUUUAGUUGUAACACUUUGGCUCGAUAAUAAUGUUUCCACGGUUAUCAAAGGGCCGGGUUUGAUAAAAUAUAGCCAGGGCCAGGUUUGUGAUCAGGGCUGCAUAAACAUUUAUACAUUCUAAAAUACAUUUUUUUCUUCAAAAUUUAUGUUUGAUUUUGUAUGUAUGCGUUUA